rnacentral:tRNA from 1 species
GGGCAGGUAGCCUAGCGGUCAAAGGCAGCAGACUGUAAAUCUGCCGGCGAAGCCUUCGGAGGUUCGAAUCCUCCUCUGCCCACCA